GUCAUUUUGUAGUUUAUAAGUGUCAUGACGGGAUGUUCACUCGCAUGUGUAAGAUGCGCCACCCUUGAAGCUUGUUACAACAUGGGCAGAUUACCAGUCUCACA